AUAGAAGAAGAUGGCGCCACAGAACAAUGAUCAUUUCCUAUGAUCGAAAACAGCUCCUGGAGAUGAGAACAGCGAUCACUUACCUCGAUUUGGAUGAUAAAUUCUACUUCAACGAGUCUGCAGCGCUGGAUGUUCUACUUGCUCUGGACCCUGAUCCCAGGGAGUGGAACAGAGGCAGACGAGUCGUUAUCCCGACUAGACUGUGUUGCUGUGUAAAUACACCGCAUCUUACCCUCCGUUCUGUUUCUGUUGACGAACAUACAGUCCCGUGUUGUAGUACUGAAUACGGGUCUAGGUCUCCAGUCCACAUUUUGAGUGUCUCGGUCUUGUCUCGGUGUCAGAUACAUUUGUAGGAUACUCGGUCUUGGGACAGUGAUUAAUAAUUUCUUUCCAAGACCAGCAGACUCAUAAUUAUCCGCUUCUAUUCACUAAGCCAUGAAACCGUGCUUCUUCGACCAGACCAAAUAUAUACACUUCUUUCUGGAAAUGUGAAUACCGGAAGUCUUUAUAUCGAUUAUAGGCCUUAAGUGUGUGACAGGUUCUUGAUGCUGAAAGGACAGUAAUACCAACGCACUGAUGUAGGAGAGUUUUUUGUAAAAACACAAAAGGGUCAGUGGUGGAGGGGAGGUGUAUAGCUGUUUCAGUACAUAGACUCACUUCCCCACUGAUGCAUAUAUCAAAGUAGUGUAGUGGAGGUAUAGGACUUAUCAAUGAUUUAGUACAAUGAGAAAUCAUGCACAAAGUAGCCUACACAAUCGCAAAGCACAUGAAAUAGACUAUAUAUACACAAAAUGAUGUGGACAUCCCUUCAAAUUUGUGGAUUCGGCUAUUUCAGCCACACCCAUUGCUGACAGGUGUAUACAAUCGAGCACAGAGACAUGCAAUCUCCUUAGACAAACAUUGGCAGUAGAAUGGCCCGUACUGAAGAGCUCAGUAACAUAGGAUGCUACUUUUCCAACAAGUCAGUGUGUCAAAUUUCUGCCCUGCUAGAGCUGCCCCGGUCAACUGUAAGUGCUGUUAUUGUGAAAUGGAAACGUCUAGGAGUAACAACUGCUCAGCCACGAAGUAGUAGGCGAGUAGUGUGUAAAAAUCAUCUGUCCUCAGUUGCAACACUCACUACCGAGAACCAAACAGCCCCUGGAAGCAACAUCAGCACAAUAACUGUUCGUCGGGAGCUUCAUGAAAUGGGUUUCCAUGGCCGAUUAGACGCACACAAGCCUGAGAUCACCAUGUUCAACGCCAAGCGUCGGGUGGAGUGGUGUAAAGCUUGCCGCCAUUGGACUCUGGAGCAGUGGAAACAUGUUCUCUGGAGUGAUGAAUCACUCUUCACCUUCUGACAGUCCGACGGAUGAUUCUGGCUCUGGCGGAUGCCAGGAGAAUACUACCUGCCGAAUGCAUAGUGCCAACUGUAAAGUUUGGUGGAGGAGGAAUAAUGGGCUGUUUUUCAUGGUUCAGACGAGGUCACUUUGUACCAGUGAAGGAAAACCUUAACUCUACAGCAUACAAUGACAUUGUAGAUGAUUCUGUGCACCCAACUUUGUGGCAACAGUUUGGGAAAGGUCCUUUCCUGUUUCAGCAUGACAAUUCCACCGUGCACAAAGCCAGGUCCACACAGAAAUGGUUUGUCGGAGAUCGGCGUGGAAUAACUUGACUGGCCUGCACAAAGCCAUGGCCUCAACCCUGUUGAACACCUUUAGGAUGAAUUAGAACGCUGACUGUGAGCCAGGCCUAAAUCACCUAACAUCAGUGUCCAACCUCACUAAUGCUCUUGUGGCUGAAUGGAAGCAAGUCCCCGCAGCAUGUUCCAACAUCUAGUGGAAAGCCUUCCAGGAAGAGUGGAGGCUGUUACAGGGGAGGGACCAACUCCAUAUUAAUGCCCAUGAUUUUGGAAUGAGAUAUUCAACAAGCAGGUGUCCACAUACUUUUGUAUGUGCUGGGCUGAUGGAAAGAUAUCAGUCACACACAGCAUAAUGUUAAAGGAUAAGUAGUUUAUCAACUCAAUCCUAAGAAUACAAAAAAGACAACCAUUAUGCUAAGCAUUACCCAAUCAACAUUUCCCAAUCGAAACUAUUACUUCCCAUUGCAAAAAAAAACAUUUCCCAUUUAGCACAAAGUCACUGGUGACCUAAAGUUGAAAUUGAAAAAUAUAUUGUGUGAGACUUUGUUCUAAGAGAAACAACAACAGGAAGCGCGCUGCAGUAGAAACACAAUUCCACUGAUCAUUUGAGAAACAACUUCUUGUUGAAAGUUAUUCUUGAAAAGGGGAGAAGCUAACAAAUUAGCAACAACAUCCUCUUCGAUAACACCUGCUGCAGCCACUGAAAAUUAGCCUACAACAAAAACAUUGCUAGCUAGACCUUGGGAAACGACUGCUAGCUAGACCUUGGGGAAAUGACUGCCAGCUAGACCUUGGGAAACGACUGCCAGCUAGACCUUGGGAAACGACUGCCAGCUAGACCUUGGGAAACGACUGCCAGCUAGACCUUGGGAAACGACUGCCAGCUAGACCUUGGGAAAUGACUGCCAGCUAGACCUUGGGAAACGACUGCUAGCUAUUGUGCGGAGGUUUCCAGUCAAAACUGUCCCCACCCAUUAUAAGUCAAAAUGUGAUUGGUUGAUUACUCGUCAUUUAAUCACAGUAGUUGAAAGGAUUUAUAAAUCGUUAGCCCUUCUCUGAAGGUGUAGAAGGCCCUCAUUGUUCUCCACUGUGUUUGGUUAGCCCUUCUCAGAAGGUGUAGAAGGCCCUCAUUGUUCUCCACUGUGUUUGGGUUAGUAAUAAUUUGCAACAUGGAUUUUUUUCAUCAUUCUGAAUGUCUAAAGACCCCAUUGGAUCAUUCAGAGAUCCUCACUGAACUUCUGGAGAGAGAGAUUGCUGCACUGAAAGUAAAGGGGCUGAAUAAUUUUGCAAGCCCAAUUUUUCAGUUUUUGAUUUGUUAAAAAAGUUUGAAAUAUCCAAUAAAUGUCGUUCCACUUCA